AGAAUUUGAUCUGGUUCAGGAUGAACGCUGGCGGCGUGCUUAACACAUGCAAGUUGCGCGGUGAUCUCAAGAAGUUUUCGGACGGAAAGGGAGAGCAGCAGCGGACGGGUGAGUAAAGCACAAGGACUUGUCCCGAAGAGGGGGACAACUGUGGGAAACCACAGCUAAUACCCCAUAAGCCGAGAGGUGAAAGCAGUAAUGCGCUUUAGGAGAGACUUGUGUCCUAUCAGGUAGUUGGUGAGGUAACGGCUCACCAAGCCGAAGACGGGUAGCCGGACUGAGAGGUUGUACGGCCACAUUGGAACUGAGAGACGGUCCAGACCCCUACGGGAGGCAGCAGUGGGGAAUAUUGGGCAAUGGGGGCAAAACCCCCUGACCCAGCGACGCCGCGUGAGGGAAGACAGCCUUCGGGUUGUAAACCUCUGUUGCAGGGGAAGAAGAAAGUGACGGUACCCUGCGAGGAAGCUCCGGCAAACUACGUGCCAGCCGCCGC
rnacentral:rRNA from 1 species